AGAAAGAAUGCAAGAACUGCUAAUUCAUGCCCUCCGCGCCUACACUCGCGGCUUUCUU
rnacentral:tRNA from 1 species